rnacentral:rRNA from 1 species
UCGAACGAUGAAGCCCUUUCGGGGUGGAUUAGUGGCGAACGGGUGAGUAACACGUGGGCAAUCUGCCCUUCACUCUGGGACAAGCCCUGGAAACGGGGUCUAAUACCGGAUAAUACUUUCCUCCUCCUGGAGGAAGGUUGAAAGCUCCGGCGGUGAAGGAUGAGCCCGCGGCCUAUCAGCUAGUUGGUGGGGUAAUGGCCUACCAAGGCGACGACGGGUAGCCGGCCUGAGAGGGCGACCGGCCACACUGGGACUGAGACACGGCCCCAAANUUAUACGGGAGGCAGCAGUGGGGAAUAUUGCACAAUGGGCGAAAGCCUGAUGCAGCGACGCCGCGUGAGGGAUGACGGCCUUCGGGUUGUAAACCUCUUUCAGCAGGGAAGAAGCGAAAGUGACGGUACCUGCAGAAGAAGCGCCGGCUAACUACGUGCCAGCAGCCGCGGUAAUACGUAGGGCGCAAGCGUUGUCCGGAAUUAUUGGGCGUAAAGAGCUCGUAGGCGGCUUGUCACGUCGGUUGUGAAAGCCCGGGGCUUAACCCCGGGUCUGCAGUCGAUACGGGCAGGCUAGAGUGUGGUAGGGGAGAUCGGAAUUCCUGGUGUAGCGGUGAAAUGCGCAGAUAUCAGGAGGAAACACCGGUGGCGAAGGCGGAUCUCUGGGCCAUUACUGACGCUGAGGAGCGAAAGCGUGGGGAGCGAACAGGAUUAGAUACCCUGGUAGUCCACGCCGUAAACGUUGGGAACUAGGUGUUGGCGACAUUCCACGUCGUCGGUGCCGCAGCUAACGCAUUAAGUUCCCCGCCUGGGGAGUACGGCCGCAAGGCUAAAACUCAAAGGAAUUGACGGGGGCCCGCACAAGCAGCGGAGCAUGUGGCUUAAUUCGACGCAACGCGAAGAACCUUACCAAGGCUUGACAUACACCGGAAAGCAUCAGAGAUGGUGCCCCCCUUGUGGUCGGUGUACAGGUGGUGCAUGGCUGUCGUCAGCUCGUGUCGUGAGAUGUUGGGUUAAGUCCCGCAACGAGCGCAACCCUUGUUCUGUGUUGCCAGCAUGCCCUUCGGGGUGAUGGGGACUCACAGGAGACUGCCGGGGUCAACUCGGAGGAAGGUGGGGACGACGUCAAGUCAUCAUGCCCCUUAUGUCUUGGGCUGCACACGUGCUACAAUGGCUGGUACAAUGAGCUGCGAUGCCGCGAGGCGGAGCGAAUCUCAAAAAGCCGGUCUCAGUUCGGAUUGGGGUCUGCAACUCGACCCCAUGAAGUCGGAGUUGCUAGUAAUCGCAGAUCAGCAUUGCUGCGGUGAAUACGUUCCCGGGCCUUGUACACACCGCCCGUCACGUCACGAAAGUCGGUAACACCCGAAGCCGGUGGCCCAACCCUCCUUGUGG